AAAUGAAUUGACGGGGGCCCGCACAAGCGGUGGAGCAUGUGGUUUAAUUCGAUGCAACGCGAAGAACCUUACCAGGUCUUGACAUCCAACGAAUUUCUAUGAAAAUAGGAAGUGCCUUCGGGAGCGUUGAGACAGGUGGUGCAUGGUUGUCGUCAGCUCGUGUCGUGAGAUGUUGGGUUAAGUCCCGCAACGAGCGCAACCCCUGCUAUUAGUUGCUAACAGUAAGAUGAGCACUCUAAUGGGACUGCCUGUGACAAGCAGGAGGAAGGUGGGGAUGACGUCAAAUCAUCAUGCCCUUUAUGAUCUGGGCUACACACGUGCUACAAUGGAUGGUACAGAGAGCGGCAAGACCGUGAGGUGGAGCGAAUCUCAAAAAGCCAUUCUCAGUUCGGAUUGAAGUCUGCAACUCGACUUCAUGAAGUCGGAAUCGCUAGUAAUCGCGAAUCAGCAUGUCGCGGUGAAUGCGUUCCCGGGCCUUGUACACACCGCCCGU
rnacentral:rRNA from 1 species